rnacentral:SRP_RNA from 1 species
UCGUGCUAGAUGGGGAAUUAGCGGUGCCCUGUAACCUGCAAUCCGCUAUAGCAGGGUUGAUGCUUUUAGGAGGCAAGUGCUGAUCGCUAAACUAGGAUUAAGUAGCGUUGAAAUUUCAACUCUUCGCAAUGGUUUUACACUAAACUCCGUCAGGACCGGAAGGUAGCAGCGGUAGGUGCUCAGAAUUAUGUGCCGUAGAAAUCUUGAAAUGGAGUUAACUGAUUCUUCGUUUAUUGACACCAGAUUUGUCGAAUUAAGUGCACGA